GAUGAACGCUGGCGGCGUGCCUAAUACAUGCAAGUCGAGCGAAUGGAUUAAGAGCUUGCUCUUAUGAAGUUAGCGGCGGACGGGUGAGUAACACGUGGGUAACCUGCCCAUAGGACUGGGAUAACUCCGGGAAACCGGGGCUAAUACCAGAUAACAUUUUGAACCGCAUGGUUCGAAAUUGAAAGGCGGCUUCGGCUGUCACUUAUGGAUGGACCCGCGUCGCAUUAGCUAGUUGGUGAGGUAACGGCUCACCAAGGCAACGAUGCGUAGCCGACCUGAGAGGGUGAUCGGCCACACUGGGACUGAGACACGGCCCAGACUCCUACGGGAGGCAGCAGUAGGGAAUCUUCCGCAAUGGACGAAAGUCUGACGGAGCAACGCCGCGUGAGUGAUGAAGGCUUUCGGGUCGUAAAACUCUGUUGUUAGGGAAGAACAAGUGCUAGUUGAAUAAGCUGACACCUUGACGGUACCUAACCAGAAAGCCACGGCUAACUACGUGCCAGCCGCCGCAGUAA
rnacentral:rRNA from 1 species